GGCGCAGCAACGCCGCGUGUGUGAUGAAGGUCUUCGGAUUGUAAAGCACUUUCGACCGGACGAAAACCCAUUGGCUAACAUCCAAUGGCUUGACGGUACCGGGAGAAGAAGCACCGGCUAACUCCGUGCCAUCAGCCGCGGUAAUACAGAGGGUGCAAGCGUUGUUCGGAAUUAUUGGGCGUAAAGCGCGUGUAGGCGGCUUUGCAAGUCGGGUGUGAAAGCCCUCAGCUCAACUGAGGAAGUGCGCCCGAAACUGCAGAGCUUGAGUGCCGGAGAGGGUGGCGGAAUUCCCCAAGUAGAGGUGAAAUUCGUAGAUAUGGGGAGGAACACCGGUGGCGAAGGCGGCCACCUGGACGGUAACUGACGCUGAGACGCGAAAGCGUGGGGAGCAAACAGGAUUAGAUACCCUGGUAGUCCACGCCGUAAACGAUGAGAACUAGGUGUCGUGGGUGUUGACCCCCGCGGUGCCGUAGCUAACGCAUUAAGUUCUCCGCCUGGGAAGUACGGUCGCAAGACUA
rnacentral:rRNA from 1 species